rnacentral:rRNA from 1 species
GCGCGUAGUAGGCGGUCUUUUAAGUCUGAUGUGAAAGCCCCGGGCUCAACCCGGGAAGUGCAUUGGAUACUGGGAGACUUGAAUACGGGAGAGGGUAGUGGAAUUCCUAGUGUAGGAGUGAAAUCCGUAGAUAUUAGGAGGAACACCGGUGGCGAAGGCGGCUACCUGGACCGAUAUUGACGCUGAGACGCGAAAGCGUGGGGAGCAAACAGGAUUAGAUACCCUGGUAGCCACGCCGUAAACGAUG